UAGAAAACUAUGAACUUGCAGAACAUGGAGAACGUUUUUAGGUUUUCUUCAAGAGAACGUGAGAAGUAAUUGUUAGGUUUGAUAAAUACAGAUUGGAAGUGGAAAACGUACACAUUGUGUGGUUAACAAACCGCCACGCCUGAAGAUCAAUCGACCGGUGGUAAUCAAGAGUUGUUCUGCCCGUCUUCCAGGUGUAUUCAAAUACACAAAAACCUCAUAAAUCUCUUUACUAACGUCAAUUUAUGAUGAUAAAUGAAAAUACUGAAAUGGAGAUCAAAAAAUGUUACUGGAAUUCCUGAAAGAAAGCGAGAAACACGUGAAUAAGCCAAUAGCGAAACACCAAGUCAGACAACUACUGCUACAGUAAUGAGCACAAGCUCAAACACCAAGGAUGAGUGGAGGUUUGCACCCUAGCUUAUGAAGAAGUAAGUACCACAAGUAGUCGUGAUCAAGCACAAAGAAAGCUUUAUAUUGGCGGGUUGUCUCCUGAAACAAGUGGAAUGCUGCUUCUUUUUUUCCAAAAAAAAAAAAAAACAUGCUGAUAUAGAAGAAGGUUUUGUUGCAUAUGACAAAGAAACAAACAAAUCACGGGCAAGAAGCAUCUGGUGGCAAGUAUGUGUAUGGCUACAACUACCUAUCCCAGCUCAGUUCGAGACUAAAUGGGCUACUACAACACAUAGAACAAAAACAUCUGAGCAAGGC